AACGAACGCUGGCGGCAUGCCUAACACAUGCAAGUCGAACGAGACCUUCGGGUCUAGUGGCGCACGGGUGCGUCACGCGUGGGAACCUGCCCUUAGGUUCGGACUAACUCCCCGACAGGGGUGCUAAUACCGGAUAAUGUCUUCUGCCCAAAGAUUUAUCGCCUUUGGAUGGGCCCUCGUUGGAUUAGCUUGUUGGUAGGGUAAAAGCCUACCAAGGCGACGAUCCAUAGCUGGUCUGAGAGGAAGCUCAGCCACACUGGGACUAAGACGCGGCCCAGACUCCUACGCGAGGGAGCAGUGGGGAAUAGUGGACAGUGGGCGAAGGGAUGAUCGUGCAAGGCCGGGAAAGUGAUGUAGGCAUGAGGGAAGAAAAGCGCUUGUAACUGGGAAGAUAAUGACAGUACCGGGACAAAAAGCCCCGGCUAACUACGUG
rnacentral:rRNA from 1 species